AUACUUACCUGGCAGGGGAGAUACCAUGAUCACGAAGGUGGUUUUCCCAGGGUGAGGCUUAUCCAUUACAUGCCAGAUGUGCUGACCCCUGCAAUUUCCCCAAAUGUGGGAAACUCGACUGCACACUUUGUAGUAGUGGGGGACUGCAUUCACGCUCUCCCCUG
rnacentral:snRNA from 1 species